rnacentral:sRNA from 1 species
GGUACCGGUCCUUGGCCUGUUAGGAACCACGCAGGACAACAGGAGGAAAUCUGCCGGCAUCUCUCAGAAAGAAACACCAAAAAAGACUGUUAAUAUGGAAUCAACUGAAGUAUUCACCAAGAAAACUGAGCUGACUGAAGAUGAAAAGAAUUACUAAAAACAUCUGAACAAAAUCAACCAAUAUUAUCAGUUCACCUUGCCCCAAUAUGUAAAAGCUGUUUAUCAAUAUCACAAAACUAUGAAACCAUGGAAAAACAUGAAGACAAAUGCUUACCAAGUUAUCCCCACUCUGGGAUUUUUAAGAUUCUUGAAUUAACUGCUUCUACUUUACUUUGGGCCAAUCAAAAUGAAGCUUCUCCUUUGGGCCUGCAUUGUAUAUGUUGCUUUUGCAAGGAAGAAUGCUGGACUGGGCUUCCUAUGGCUGUGAAGUGCCAUUGCUGGAGAGACGGUUCCCCUUCAUUGGGGUUUCUCCUUUGUCCCUCCUUCAAGGUUUUUUUCAGCAGCUGCAGCACCCACUGCCCCACCUAUUGCAGCUGAGCCUGCUGCAGCUACACCGCCUACAGCCACACCUGUAGCAGCUGAGCCUGCUGCAGGGGCCCCUGUUGCAGCUGAGCCUGCUGCA